rnacentral:rRNA from 1 species
UACGGGGGGGGCAAGCGUUGUUCGGAAUUACUGGGCGUAAAGCGCGCGUAGGCGGAUCUGCAAGUCGGGGGUGAAAUCCCGAGGCUCAACCUCGGAACUGCCUUCGAUACUGCGGGUCUCGAGUCCGGGAGAGGUGAGUGGAAUUCCUAGUGUAGAGGUGAAAUUCGUAGAUAUUAGGAAGAACACCAGUGGCGAAGGCGGCUCACUGGCCCGGUACUGACGCUGAGGCGCGAAAGCGUGGGGAGCAAACAGGG